rnacentral:rRNA from 1 species
GACGAACGCUGGCGGCGUGCCUAAUACAUGCAAGUCGAACGCAGUGGGGACGGGUGAGUAACACGUGGGUAACCUCCCAUCAGAGGGGAUCACACUUGGAAACAGGUGCUAAACCGAUACUGAUGGAUGGACCCGCGGUGCAUUAGCUAGUUGGUGAGGUAACGGCUCACCAAGGCCACGAUGCAUAGCCGACCUGAGGUGGUGAUCGGGCAGACUGGGACGGAGACACGGCCCAGACUCUUCCGGGAGGCAGCAGUGGGGAAUCUUCGGCAAGGGACGAAAGUCUGACCGAGCAACGCCGCGUGAGUGAAGAAGGUUUUCGGAUCGUAAAACUCUGUUGUUAGAGAAGCGGUAUUUAACCAGAAAGCUACGGCUAACUACGGGCCAGCAGCCGCGGUAAUUC